rnacentral:rRNA from 1 species
UACGGAGGGUGCAAGCGUUAUCCGGAUUCACUGGGUUUAAAGGGCGCGUAGGCGGCCUGGCAAGUGACGGGUGAAAGCCCUCGGCUCAACCGAGGAACUGCCUGUCAUACUGCCGGGCUUGAGUCCGGGAGAGGUGAGUGGAAUUCCCAGUGUAGCGGUGAAAUGCGUAGAUAUUGGGAGGAACACCAGUGGCGAAGGCGGCUCACUGGACCGGAACUGACGCUGAGGCGCGAAAGCGUGGGGAGCAAACAGG